rnacentral:rRNA from 1 species
GGAACCUUACCAGGGCUUAAAUGUAGUGGGACAGGCUUGGAAACAGGCCCUUCUUCGGACUCAUUACAAGGUGCUGCAUGGUUGUCGUCAGCUCGUGCCGUGAGGUGUCAGGUUAAGUCCUAUAACGAGCGCAACCCCUGUUGUUAGUUGCCAGCGAGUAAUGUCGGGAACUCUAACAAGACUGCCGGUGCAAACCGUGAGGAAGGUGGGGAUGACGUCAAAUCAUCACGGCCCUUACGUCCUGGGCUACACACGUGCUACAAUGGCCGGUACAGAGAGCAGCCACUGGGCGACCAGGAGCGAAUCUAUAAAACCGGUCACAGUUCGGAUUGGAGUCUGCAACCCGACUCCAUGAAGCUGGAAUCGCUAGUAAUCGGAUAUCAGCCAUGAUCCGGUGAAUACGUUCCCGGGCCUUGUACACACCGCCCGUCAAGCCAUGGAAGCU